rnacentral:rRNA from 1 species
AACGCUAGCGGCAGGCUUAACACAUGCAAGUCGAGGGGUAACAGGGAAGCUUGCUUCCGCUGACGACCGGCGCACGGGUGCGUAACGCGUAUAGAACCUACCUUUUACAGAGGGAUAGCCUUUAGAAAUGAAGAUUAAUACCUCAUAGUAUUAUAGAUUCGCAUGAAUUUAUACUUAAAGAUUUAUCGGUAAAAGAUGGCUAUGCGUCCUAUUAGCUAGAUGGUAAGGUAACGGCUUACCAUGGCGACGAUAGGUAGGGGUCCUGAGAGGGAGAUCCCCCACACUGGUACUGAGACACGGACCAGACUCCUACGGGAGGCAGCAGUGAGGAAUAUUGGGCAAUGGAGGCAACUCUGACCCAGCCAUGCCGCGUGCAGGAAGACGGCCCUAUGGGUUGUAAACUGCUUUUAUACAGGAAGAAACACUCGUACGUGUACGAGCUUGACGGUACUGUAAGAAUAAGGACCGGCUAACUCCGUGCCAGCAGCCGCGGUAAUACGGAGGGUCCGAGCGUUAUCCGGAAUCAUUGGGUUUAAAGGGUCCGCAGGCGGUCAAUUAAGUCAGAGGUGAAAUCCCAUAGCUUAACUAUGGAACUGCCUUUGAUACUGGUUGACUUGAGUCAUAUGGAAGUAGAUAGAAUGUGUAGUGUAGCGGUGAAAUGCAUAGAUAUUACACAGAAUACCGAUUGCGAAGGCAGUCUACUACGUAUGUACUGACGCUGAGGGACGAAAGCGUGGGGAGCGAACAGGAUUAGAUACCCUGGUAGUCCACGCCGUAAACGAUGGAUACUAGUUGUUGGGAUUUAUCUCAGUGACUAAGCGAAAGUGAUAAGUAUCCCACCUGGGG